UAGCACUUGAUACUAGCUAAGCUAUCUGUAUUUUAGCCUUGAUGAAAGACUUGUAGUGUGAUAUGAUCACUGAGUUUAAGAAGAGCAAUAUUGGGGCUGGAGCGGUGAGGCAAGCUGUAGGGCAUUU